rnacentral:rRNA from 1 species
CCCUUAGAUGUUCUGGGCCGCACGCGCGCUACACUGAUGAAUUCAACGAGCUCCUAACCUAGGCCGAAGGGUCCGGGUAAUCUUUGAAAUUUCAUCGUGAUGGGGAUAGAUUAUUGCAAUUAUUAAUCUUCAACGAGGAAUUCCUAGUAAGCGCGAGUCAUCAGCUCGCGUUGAUUACGUCCCUGCCCUUUGUACACACCGCCCGUCGCUCCUACCGAUUGAAUGGUCCGGUGAAAUGUUCGGAUCGCGGCAAAUCGGACGGGUAACCGUCAGGUUCGCUGCGAGAAGUUCAUUAAACCUUAUCAUUUAGAGGAGGGAGAAGUCGUAACA